GACGAACGCUGGCGGCGUGCUUAACACAUGCAAGUCGAACGGAAAGGCCUGCUUUCCCUUGUGGAUUGCGGGUACUCGAGUGGCGAACGGGUGAGUAACACGUGAGUGAUCUGCCCCCAACUUGGGUAUAAGCCUGGGAAACUGGGUCUAAUUCCCGAUAGGACUGCAGGGUGGUGCCUGUGGUGGCAAACGAUUUUCUAGUGGUUGGGGAUGAGCUCCCGGCCUAUCAGCUUGUUGGUGGGGUAAUGGCCUACCAAGGCGGCGACGGGUAGCCGGCGUGGGAGCGUGGACGGCGACACUGGGACUGAGAUCCGGCCCAGACGGGUACGGGAGGCAGCAGUUGGGAAUAUAGGAGCAAGAGCCGGAGGGUGCUGCAGCGACGGAGCGUGGGAGAUGACGGCCUUGGGGUUGUAAGCUCCUUGCGACCGCGAGGAGGCCAACUGGUUGGGAGGGUGGUGACGGUAGUGGUAGAAGAAGCACCGGCUAACUACGUG
rnacentral:rRNA from 1 species